CUUCUUCAAUGAAAGGCUCAAUGGGGUUUGGUGUGGGCUUCCAACAGAGAUAUCCCGGUUGAUGAGGACCAGAGGAACACCAGUCUGAAUAAGCCCAUAUUCAGGAGCAGAGUACAGAACCUCUCUCUCCAGAAAGGCUAUUGUACAAGCAGCCCAGUGUCUUGGUGGGUGAGUAGUGUUGU